UCCCCGUUAACCGGGGCAGUCCCCCUAGAGCACCCCGAUCUUUCAACCAGGUUCCUGCACUUUCUAGCCCAGGUAAGGUUCUGCGCGUUGCGUCGAAUUGAACCACAUGCUCCACCGCUUGUGCGGGCCCCCGUCAAUUCCUUUGAGUUUUAGCCUUGCGGCCGUACUCCCCAGGCGGGGUGCUUAAUGCGUUAGCUACGGCACCGCAGGGGUCAAAGCCCGCGACACCUAGCACCCAUCGUUUACGGCGUGGACUA
rnacentral:misc_RNA from 1 species